CAGUAGACGUGUGAAUCAUCGAAUCUUUGAACGCACCUUGCACCCUUUGGCUUGUCCAAAGAGUCUGCCUGGGUGAGUAUCGACUAGUCUUUCUCACUGAAUAGUGAUAUUUGGUGGAGGUGGAUGUUCCGUUAUUACUAAUGGUCAUCUUAAAUAUGAAAAGCCAGUGGGGUCACUUUUUGACCUCUGGUCUUCUCCUUGUUGUUCUGCUGGACGUAUUCUCCGUCGGACCUUGGUCAGGUCUGUUUUAUUAUGCGUCAAAGGGUAGGGCAUCAAAAGGGAGUCGACUGUAUUGUUUGGCUGUCAACUUGGUUAACACUCGUUACCCAAGUCAAAUUGGCUAGACUUUCUUUUGAAAGCAGCCUGACCACAUACCCAACUCGAUCUCACCUCAGGCAGGAUGACCCGCUGAACUUAAGCAUAUCAAUAAGCGGAGG
rnacentral:rRNA from 1 species